AACGAACGCUGGCGGCAGGCCUAACACAUGCAAGUCGAGCGCGCCCUUCGGGGUGAGCGGCGGACGGGGGGGUAACGGGUGGGAACGUGCCCUUUUCUACGGAAUAGCGUCGGGAAACAGAGAGUAAUACGGUAUACGCUCUUGGGGGCGAAGUGUUGGCGAAAAAGGGGGGUCCACAGUUGUAUCGGGAUAGGGUGGGCGUAGGUCGCAUUAAGUCGUUGGUAGGGUAACGGCCUACCAAGGGGACGAUCCAUAACUGGUCUGAGAGGAUGACCAGCCACACUGGGACUGAGACACGGCGCAGACUCCUACGGGAGGGAGCAGUGGGGAAUCUUAGACAAUGGGGGCAACCCUGAUCUAGCCAUGCCGCGUGAGUGAUGAAGGCCUUAGGGUUGUAAAGCUCUUUCAGCUGGGAAGAUAAUGACGGUACCAGCAGAAGAAGCCCCGGCUAACUCCGUG
rnacentral:rRNA from 1 species